GCAAUGAUGAAUAUUUUGGUUUUGAUCAGCAACGAGGUGAAACUACGCAACCAAUCCUCUAAGAAGUUCUGAGCUC
ensembl:snoRNA